AGCGAACGCUGGCGGCAGGCCUAACACAUGCAAGUCGAACGAACUCUUCGGAGUUAGUGGCGGACGGGUGAGUAACACGUGGGAACGUGCCUUUAGGUUCGGAAUAACUCAGGGAAACUUGUGCUAAUACCGAAUGUGCCCUUCGGGGGAAAGAUUUAUCGCCUUUAGAGCGGCCCGCGUCUGAUUAGCUAGUUGGUGAGGUAAAGGCUCACCAAGGCGACGAUCAGUAGCUGGUCUGAGAGGAUGAUCAGCCACAUUGGGACUGAGACACGGCCCAAAC
rnacentral:rRNA from 1 species